rnacentral:rRNA from 1 species
CCUACGGGGGGCUGCAGUGGGGAAUCUUGCGCAAUGGGCGAAAGCCUGACGCAGCAACGCCGCGUGGGGGAUGAAGGCUCUCGGGUUGUAAACCCCUUUCAGCAGGGACGAAAUUGACGGUACCUGCAGAAGAAGCCCCGGCUAACUACGUGCCAGCAGCCGCGGUAACACGUAGGGGGCAAGCGUUGUCCGGAUUUAUUGGGCGUAAAGAGCUCGUAGGUGGCUAAGUAAGUCGGGUGUCAAAUCCCCAGGCUCAACCUGGGUCUCCACCCGAUACUGCUUUGGCUAGAGUCCGGUAGGGGAGCGUGGAAUUCCUGGUGUAGCGGUGAAAUGCGCAGAUAUCAGGAGGAACACCAGCGGCGAAGGCGGCGCUCUGGGCCGGUACUGACACUGAGGAGCGAAAGCGUGGGUAGCAAACAGGCUUAGAUACCCCAGUAGUC